UCCUCCUAGUCUUUUCUUUCAACUAGAAUACUGCCUCUCGUUUUGCUGCUCGCCUGAUGCCUGCUCCUGCUUGCUGUCGCUGCUCGCUGCCGCUAGUGGUCCUCCAAUCUCCGCGGAUCAUUUCAUUCUAUCCUCCAUUCGUGAUUCGACCAUUGAUGGCAACCUCUGAGCCGGAGACAAUUCUAAAAGAAUUGAAGAACUUGUAGAAUUUUUGAAUGAGUUGUGCUACUUUAUUAUCAUUUUAUAGAUAUGUACUUUAAAUUUGUUUCUUAUGAUAAGUUUUAAUUGUAAGAAAUUAUUUGAACUAAGGAUUUUUUUGUCAACCCGUUUGUUAUUCAAUCCGUUCAU